rnacentral:rRNA from 1 species
UACAGCCAUAUCAUGUUGAAACACCGGUUUCUGUAUGAUCAUUGAAGUUAAGCAAUGUCAAGUCUAGUCAGUACAUUGAUGGGUGACCACUUGGAAAUACCAGGUACUGUAA